rnacentral:rRNA from 1 species
AACGUACGCUGGCGGCACGCCUAACACAUGCAAGUCGAACGAAGUAGCAAUACUUAGUGGCAGACGGGUGAGUAACAUGUAGGUAUCUGCCCUUUGGCCUGGAAUAACACGAGGAAACUUGUGCUAAUACCGGAUAAGUCUUUACGGAGAAAGCUUUAUGCACCAUUGGAUGAGCCUGCACUUGAUUAGUUUGUUGGUGGGGUAAUGGCCUACCAAGACUGUGAUCAAUAGCUGAUUUGAGAGGAUGAUCAGCCACAUUGGGACUGAGACACGGCCCAAACUCCUACGGGAGGCAGCAGUGGGGAAUCUUGCACAAUGGAGGAAACUCUGAUGCAGCGAUGCCGCGUGAGUGAAGAAGGCCCUUGGGUUGUAAAGCUCUUUCGUCGGGGAAGAAAAUGACUGUACCCGAAUAAGAAGGUCCGGCUAACUUCGUGCCAGCAGCCGCGGUAAUACGAAGGGACCUAGCGUAGUUCGGAAUUACUGGGCUUAAAGAGUUCGUAGGUGGUUGAAAAAGUUAGUGGUGAAAUCCCAGAGCUUAACUCUGGAACUGCCAUUAAAACUUUUCAGCUAGAGUAUGAUAGAGGAAAGCAGAAUUUCUAGUGUAGAGGUGAAAUUCGUAGAUAUUAGAAAGAAUACCAAUUGCGAAGGCAGCUUUCUGGAUCAUUACUGACACUGAGGAACGAAAGCAUGGGUAGCGAAGAGGAUUAGAUACCCUCGUAGUCCAUGCCGUAAACGAUGUGUGUUAGACGUUGGAAAUUUAUUUUCAGUGUCGCAGGGAAACCGAUAAACACACCGCCUGGGGGAGUACGACCGCAAGGUUAAAACUCAAAUGAAUUGACGGGGACCCGCACAAGUAGUGGAGCAUGUGGUUUAAUUCGAAGAUACGCGCAGAACCUUACCAACGCUUGACAUGUUCGUCGCGACUCUAAGAGAUUAGAGUUUUCGGUUCGGCCGGACGAAACACAGGUGCUGCAUGGCUGUCGUCAGCUCGUGU